rnacentral:rRNA from 1 species
UGAACCAAAUGCUUACAAGCAGUCGGAGCAAGCGUAUUUAUAUGUCUUGUGACGGCGUACCUUUUGUAUAAUGGGUCAGCGACUUAGUUUAUCUAGCAAGCUUAAGCCGUUAGGUGUAGGCGUAGCGAAAGCGAGUCUGAAUAGGGCAUUUAGUUAGAUGAAUUAGACCCGAAACCGGGUGAUCUAGCCAUGGCCAGGUUGAAAGCGGAGUAAAAUCCACUGAAGGGCCGAACCCACUACUGUUGAAAAAGUAGGGGAUGAGCUGUGGUUAGGGGUGAAAGGCCAAUCAAACUCGGAUAUAGCUGGUUCUCCGCGAAAUCUAUUUAGGUAGAGCGUUAUAGCGAUUACCAUCGAAGGUAGAGCACUGAAUGAGCUAGGGGGUCCCACAGACUUACCAAACUCAAUCAAACUCCGAAUGUCGAUGAGUACAGCAUAGCAGACAGACUAUGGGUGCUAAGGUCCAUAGUCGAGAGGGAAAAAGCCCAGACCGCCAUCUAAGGUCCCUAAAUCAUGACUAAGUGUUAAAGGAUGUGAGAAGACCAAAACAACUAGGAUGUUGGCUUAGAAGCAGCCAUCAUUUAAAGAAAGCGUAAUAGCUCACUAGUCUAAAUAAGUUUUCUUGCGCCAACAAUGUAACGGGGCUCAAGUCAUGUACCGAAGAUGCGGGUUUAUGCAUUUGGCAUAAAUGGUAGCGGAGCGUUCCGUAAGCCUGCGAAGGUGAACUGUAAAGUUUGCUGGACGUAUCAA